AUGCCAGUGGCAUGAAGGAAUCUUGUGAGAUGGCGAAUUCGCCACACGGCUCAGAUAUGCUGAUCAGGCUUGUCAGGCGGCGCCUUCUCACUAACAGGUGCCAGUGUUCAUUAACAUUGAUUUUUCACUUUAUUUUCUCAUUUGAAAAAAACGCUU